rnacentral:tRNA from 1 species
GAGGGUAUAGCUCAAGUGGUAGGGCGCAUGCUUAGCACUCACGAGGUCCUGGGCUCAAUCCCCAGUACCUCCU